rfam:Lactobacillus iners DSM 13335 genomic scaffold SCAFFOLD11, whole genome shotgun sequence.
GAGAACAAGAAGAAGCACCCGCUUCUCGCCUAAGUUUUAAACCUCUAGGCUGAUAUGAUCAUUUAAAAAGCGGGCUCUUUUGCCCGCUUUUAUCUUGUCCU